UACGGAGGGUGCAAGCGUUAUCCGGAUUCACUGGGUUUAAAGGGUGCGUAGGCGGUCUGGUAAGUCAGUGGUGAAAUCUCCGGGCUUAACCCGGAAACUGCCGUUGAUACUAUCUGUCUUGAAUAUCGUGGAGGUAAGCGGAAUAUGUCAUGUAGCGGUGAAAUGCUUAGAUAUGACAUAGAACACCCAUUGCGAAGGCAGCUUACUAAACGAUCAUUGACGCUGAGGCACGAAAGCGUGGGGAGCAAACAGG
rnacentral:rRNA from 1 species